CCAUCUUUAUUAUAGGGUCACGUGGAUCUCAGUCGCUUCAGCAGGAGUUUUUCUGUGUGUUUGGAUACUUUGUCCUUUCUUCAUCCGAAA